UACAGAGGGUGCGAGCGUUAAUCGGAAUUACUGGGCGUAAAGCGCACGUAGGUGGCUAUUUAAGUCGAUUGUGAAAUCCCUGGGCUUAACCUGGGAACUGCAGUCGAUACUGACUAGCUAGAGUGUGGUAGAGGGAAGUGGAAUUUCCGGUGUAGCGGUGAAAUGCGUAGAGAUCGGGAGGAACAUCAGUUGCGAAGGCGGCUCUCUGGACCAGCACUGACACUGAGGCACGAAAGCGUGGGGAGCAAACAGG
rnacentral:rRNA from 1 species